rnacentral:rRNA from 1 species
AGAACGAACGCUGGCGGCAUGCCUAACACAUGCAAGUCGGACGAGACCUUCGGGUCUAGUGGCGCACGGGUGCGUAACGCGUGGGAAUCUGCCCUUGGGUUCGGGAUAACAGUUGGAAACGACUACUAAUGCCGGAUGAUGUCUUCGGACCAAAGAUUUAUCGCCCAGGGAUGAGCCCGCGUAGGAUUAGCUUGUUGGUGAGGUAAGAGCUCACCAAGGCGACGAUCCUUAGCUGGUCUGAGAGGAUGAUCAGCCACACUGGGACUGAGACACGGCCCAGACUCCUACGGGAGGCAGCAGGUGGGGAAUAGUUAGGACAAAGUGGGACGAAAG